rnacentral:lncRNA from 1 species
AGAAGAACAGGGAAGAACAAGACAGUGAUGAUCCCAAGCACCACGAUGCAAGAUCAAGGCCACUUGGACUCCCAGGUUCAGAACCUCAACCACUCUCCUGCCCAAAUCCUCGGCUCCUCUGCAUGCCAUCUGUCCGUCGCCCCUGCUAGUGGAUCCCAGUCUGCUUUCCAGCCAACCCGUGGCACUCAGGGAUCCCAGGACAAGGGUGUUCGAGGGUGUUAGGGGCCGGCUCUUCCAGCUUCCUCCACGGGGUCUACCCCUUGCCUUCUGUGUUCUCAAGCCACACCGAAGCACUCACUCUCAACAGAUGCCUUUUACGUCAAGAGAACAAACUCCAUGACAGCCCCCUCAAUUCCCUACCUCAGCACCCAAAGCUGAUCCAUCUUCUCCUCUUUGCGUCCCUUAUAGAGCACGAGCUACGGCUCCCUGACCACGUGCUUUCUCUACUUUCUCACUCCGACUCACUCCUCUGUCCACUGAAAGCUGCUUCCACGCCAACAGAACUAAGGUUUGGACAGACUUGUUUUUAAACCUAACGAACACGUCACAGUCCUUCUGGAUUGACCACAGCAACUUGUGUCCCUCCUUCCCACCCGUAGCUACAUCUGCUUCUGGUCGGCUUCCCACCUCUUCCUCUCACCCUUCCUUUCCAGAAUUUUCUCCUGACAAAUCUCUUAGAUGCUGAAGUUCCUCAAGGGACCAUCUUCCCUCCUCUUCUCUUAUCUUUUUUCCCUGUUCUGGGUGAGUUGAUUUUAUUCCUGGCUUCGAUUACUAUCUAUAAGAUGACAACUUAUAUUUAUUGUCUUUUGCCUAGAUUUGUCUGUUGAAUUAAUCCUUUAUUUAAAAAAAUUAUUUUAAAAAAUCAAUGGUAAUAAUAACAACAGGAUAGCAGGAAAAUUUGAGAACUUAAUAUGCAUUUUCUCUUCUACUCCUAUUUCUUUUUUAAGCAGAGAGAAUGGUAUUGCUUGGCUGAACACACAGAAGGUGGCUGCAAACACCUCAACUUCUUGGCUUAGUUUCUAGAAGUCAGAGCUACUUGAGAUUAGGAGGAGAGAUGACUUUGAGGACACAGAGAAAUAGGAACGAUUACUCCAGAUUGUGAAGAAGGUGGAAGUAACAAUCCUAUGAAAAGAAUUCGAAUCCAGCUCACCACAGGUGGGUAACACAGCUCAAAGGGCUUGAUGGGUGGACUAGGAGAGUGGAUUUCUGCACUAAAGCUCCCAGCCUGAAUCUAGGCUUUAAGAAGCCCUGGAGGCUUCUGGUUGUUUUGCUUUGGGUUAAGCCAGUGGCCAUGCAGAAGUCCACCUGCCUUCAGACCACUAUGCAAUGGGCAUGCUGGAGAAAUCACAGGGAGGAAAAGUGAAGGUCCUUGUCCCCACCUGAGCUUCCAGCCAAGAUCUAGAAACAACCUGCUUUUCAUGCCAGCAAUUCUCCAGCCCAGUUAUACCAUCCCAGGGGACUCCAGAAGUUCCCCUUUCAGCCCUGUCUCAAUUACAGAUCCAUGAGCAAAUAAACAGAGUGAUUGUGGAUUUAGGAUACUACAUUGUAAGGUAGUUUGUUUCUCAACAACAGGUAACCGAAACGGUGGUUCAUGAGUUCCAGGACUCAAGUGAUCUUCUACUCAUCAGUGGGGGUUGGAGGGGAACAAUGCCUCUGUAAAUGCUCCAAGAGCUCCAAAGUGUCCUUCGGAUGAAACAAAACAUUUGACUACAAUACACGAAGCUUCCAUCACCUGGCCACAGCCUAACCUCCAGAGAGCAUGACUAUGACAGCUUCCCUACAAGAGAUGCUACUGUGGUUCCGUCUUACAGACAAGCCAACCAAGGCUGGGAGAGUUUAAGAUCUGGCCCAAAGUCACCCAGAGAGUGACAAAGCACACCCACCAGUGUACUGCCUGCCCCCUGGCCCAUUUUCCCUUGG